AAGAGGGGGGGGAACCUAGAGUCGGUGGGGGGGAAGCGAUGUUUGCCCGUCAGUCGAGUCCGGAGUGAGGAGCUCGGUCGCCGAAGCGGAGGGAGACUCUUGAGCUUCAUCUUGCCGCCGCCACGGCCACCGCCUGGACCUUUGCCCGGAGGGAGCUGCAGAGGGUCCAUCGCCGCCGUCCUCUGGAGGGCAGCGCGAUUGGGGGCCCGGACCUCCAGUCCGGGGGGGAUUUUUCGUCGUCCCCCUCCCCCCAACCAGGGAGCCCGAGCGGCCGCCAAACAAAGGUACCAGUCGCCGCCGCGGGAGGAGGAGGAGCCGGAGCCUCUGCCUCAGCAGCCGCUGGACCCGCCGCCCUUCUUCCCCAUCUCUCCCCCGGGCCUGCUGGUUUUGGGGGGGAGAAGGAGAGAGGGGACUCUGGACGUGCCAGGGUCAGAUCUCGCCUCCGAGGAAGGUGCAGCUGAACCUGGUGUUUUAGAGGAUACCUUGGUCCCAGAGUCAUCAUGAAGGCCCUUGAUGAGCCUCCCUAUUUGACAGUGGGCACUGAUGUGAGUGCUAAAUACAGAGGAGCCUUUUGUGAAGCCAAGAUCAAGACAGCAAAAAGACUUGUCAAAGUCAAGGUGACAUUUAGACAUGAUUCUUCAACAGUGGAAGUUCAGGAUGACCACAUAAAGGGCCCACUAAAGGUAGGAGCUAUUGUGGAAGUGAAGAAUCUUGAUGGUGCGUAUCAGGAAGCUGUUAUCAAUAAACUAACAGAUGCGAGUUGGUACACUGUAGUUUUUGAUGACGGAGAUGAGAAGACACUGAGACGAUCUUCACUGUGCCUGAAAGGAGAGAGGCAUUUUGCUGAAAGUGAAACAUUAGACCAGCUCCCACUCACCAACCCUGAGCAUUUUGGCACUCCAGUCAUAGGAAAGAAAACAAAUAGAGGAAGAAGAUCUAAUCAUAUACCAGAGGAAGAGUCUUCAUCAUCCUCCAGUGAUGAAGAUGAGGAUGAUAGGAAACAGAUUGAUGAGCUACUAGGCAAAGUUGUAUGUGUAGAUUACAUUAGUUUGGAUAAAAAGAAAGCACUGUGGUUUCCUGCAUUGGUGGUUUGUCCUGAUUGUAGUGAUGAGAUUGCUGUAAAAAAGGACAAUAUUCUUGUUCGAUCUUUCAAAGAUGGAAAAUUUACUUCAGUUCCAAGAAAAGAUGUCCAUGAAAUUACUAGUGACACUGCACCAAAGCCUGAUGCUGUUUUAAAGCAAGCCUUUGAACAGGCACUUGAAUUUCACAAAAGUAGAACUAUUCCUGCUAACUGGAAGACUGAAUUGAAAGAAGAUAGCUCUAGCAGUGAAGCAGAGGAAGAAGAGGAGGAGGAAGAUGAUGAAAAAGAAAAGGAGGAUAAUAGCAGUGAAGAAGAGGUAAGUGAAAACAGUUGAUACCUUUUAAAAUUAUAAAUAACAGUUGGGUUUCCCUUGUGGGUUAGGAUUUGGCAUUAAGUCAUUACUCAUAUAAGCAUUUUUAGUAUGAGAAAUAUUUCAUAAUCUUGUAUUUGAGAUCCUCAUAAUCAGAUAGUUUACUUGGUUACUUUAGAUAUAUGAUCCUGUGAAAUUGAAAAUAUUAAGUCUGAUUUUCCUAAUAACCUCAAAAACAUGUCUUAGUCUUCCUUUGCUGUUUUUAAUGAGAUGAUUAAGAAAGUAUCCACCAGGCUGGGCGCAGUGGCUCAGGCCUGUAAUCCUAGCACUUUGGGAGGCCGAGGCAGGCGGAUCACGAGGUCAGGAGAUCGAGACCAUCCUGGCUAACACGGUGAAACCCCGUCUUUACUAAAAAUACAAAAAAUUAGCCGGGGGUGGUGGUGGGCGCCUGUAGUCCCAGCUACUUGGGAGGCUGAGGCAGGAGAAUGGCAUGAAACCAAGAGACAGAGCUUGCAGUGAGCCAAGAUCGCGCCACUGCACUCCAGCCUGGGCGACAGAGCGAGACUCUGUCUCAAAAAAAAAAAAAAAAACGAAAACAAAAACAAAAAAACUUUCCAUCUAGGCCAGGCACAGUGACUCACGACCAUAAUCGUAGCACUUUGGGAGGGCAAGACAGGUGGCUCACUUGAACUCAGGAGUUCGAGACCAGACUGGGCAACAUGGUGAAACCCCAUCUCAACAAAAAUAAAAAUAAAAAUAAUUAGCAGGGCAUGUCAGUGCACUCCUGUAGCCCCACCUACUGAGGAGGCUGUGUUGGGAGGACGGCCUGAGCCUUGGAGGUGGAGGUUGCAAUGAGCCGUGAAUUUACCACUGCCCUACAUCCUGGGUGACAGAGUGAGACCCUGUCUUAUU
rnacentral:sRNA from 1 species